GCGGGCGUGGCGGAACAGGUAGACGCGCGGCACUUAAAAUGCCGUUCCAAAUGGAGUGCCGGUUCGAUUCCGGCCGCCCGCACCA
rnacentral:tRNA from 1 species